AGUACUAAAAUGUUGUACUUAAAGGAGCAUGGGGCAGGAUGAAGAACCGAAACUCUUUAGCGACGCACUCGGCGCUGUGAGUAACUGCAGCCUGGCACGAGAGCUCGCACAAACUCUUCACUAGAAAAAAAAAAGUUACAGUGAUGUACGGCCAGAGCGCGGCUCGAACAAGGCACCGUGUCGAGCGAUGAAGUAAGUAACAUUGUUACUUUAUAGUCUAAUAUUUGUAAAAUUCCAUGACAACAUUAGCAUUUUAAUUUAGCCAUGACACUCGUGAUGUAAAGCAAGUGCUGCUUCCUAAGAAAUAUUCAUAAGCCAGUUUUGUGACAGGCGAGCAAGACAGUAACAUGAUGCUACUUUAUUAGCAUAAGGCUUUGUGGCUGCAGGAGAUUUCUGAUGUUUUUAGACCAAUUACAGUUAUUAUUUUGCACUAAGCUUACUAACAAGCUAAUGUUAUUGUUUAUACAUCAUGUAAGAACAUCCAAUUUCAAGUCACUGACAUCAUUUGUGAAACCAAUUUCAUUACAGGACAGGCAUCACAACAAUGUAAAUAAGAACAUAAAUAUCAAUGCUUAGUUCAAAAAUGCAUCAAAAUAAAAUCAUAAUAUCAACAAGACCUACAGGGUAAUAGUCAUUUUUCUAUUACUGUCAUUGAUUUUCAGGAAUUCACAUUGGAAGGAGUGAUGGAAGACAGUUCAGAUGGAGUGUGCCCGAGCCUGCCACAGACUUUGAUGUGUCGUGGGAAAGUUUGAGACCAGGGGCUAAAGGAAAGGGGAGAGGAAAAGGUUGCUCCGAGGGUCGGGGAAGGACACGCUCAAGGGGUGAGGGCAGCAGGUUGAGGUCCAGAGCUCCUUCAAGAGGACCAGGGUGCCGGGGUAGGCAGCCAACAGCUUUCAGAGAAGAGGACCGAGACCAGCUAGCACAGCUGAGAGCUGCCAGUAUAGCUGAGAUGCAGACAGCUUUACAACACCUGAGCCAGGAGGAGAGAGAUUAUAUUCUCGAGAGAGUGGUGACCCGUCUUCCAGGGGUGAUGCUGGAUAUCCUGGAGUUUCGGCAAGAGACGCCAGGACAUCGUCUUCCUGACUGAGGGCACCCUAACCCAAAAAUCCAAACCGUUUAUCUACAACUACAGUAGUUCCAAAACAGCACAAUACCUCAAAAUAACUUUAGCUGAAGACAGCAUUUUCACCCAAAAAUAAACAGUUUGUGCAAUAUAUUUAUUUUUAUUUAUGUACAAAAAAGUUCUGUUAUUUGCAUUUGUACAUAGUAUUUUUUCUUAAUUUCUAAUAAAUCUGUGAGCAUUAAAGAAGUCAUUCCUGUCUUUUGAUGCUUCACGUAGCUGGGGCCUUUAUGGAGAGAGAACAGUAGCAUUAGAUCAUACAUAGAUUACAUGAGAAUGCAGUUCUGGAAACUCUCCAGUUCUGAAGUUGACCUGUAAAAAAAACAAAAGCUGCAACUUUAUAGAUUAUUAGGAAUCACACUUUUGAUUGCCUUUUCACCCACAAUUGUCAUUUCUAUAUGUAAAUUGUCAGCUUUGAUAUUGACACUUUAGCUUUUUUGCUUAUGAAAAUGUUAUUAAUAUACCUAAAGGUCAGAUUGGUGACAUCCUUCAACCAGCGUCUGUUGAACUUGAUUCGUUGAAGAGCCUCGUGUGGUGGAGAUCAUGGUACCAUGAGCUCUUUAUCACUGGUCAUUGCAUCAAGUGGUCCAUGGUCACAUUUGCCACGGGUCCAUUCAUGCUUCCCUGUGACAUGGUGAAGCACACCCACCCACAUGUC